UACAGAGGGGGCAAGCGUUAUUCGGAAUUACUGGGCGUAAAGCGCGCGUAGGCGGACCUGCAAGUCGGGGGUGAAAGCCCGAGGCUCAACCUCGGAACUGCCUUCGAUACUGCGGGUCUCGAGUCCGGGAGAGGUGAGUGGAAUUCCUAGUGUAGAGGUGAAAUUCGUAGAUAUUAGGAAGAACACCAGUGGCGAAGGCGGCUCACUGGCCCGGUACUGACGCUGAGGCGCGAAAGCGUGGGGAGCAAACAGG
rnacentral:rRNA from 1 species